ACGUAGGUGGCGAGCGUUGUUCGGAAUUAUUGGGCGUAAAGGGCGUGUAGGCGGCUUAUUAAGUCAGAUGUGAAAUCCCUGGGCUUAACCCAGGACGUGCAUUUAAAACUGUUCGACUUGAGUAGAGGAGAGGAAAGUGGAAUUCCUGGUGUAGCGGUGAAAUUCGUAGAUAUUAGGAGGAACACCGGUGGCGAAGGCGACUUACUGGACUUUAACUGACGCUGAGACGCGAGAGCGUGGGGAGCAAACAG
rnacentral:rRNA from 1 species